GCGCCUGUAGCUCAGCUGGAUAGAGUGUCGCCCUCCGAAGGCGAAGGUCACAGGUUCGACUCCUGUCAGGCGCACCA
rnacentral:tRNA from 1 species